rnacentral:rRNA from 1 species
GACGAACGCUGGCGGCGUGCCUAAUACAUGCAAGUUGAGCGCUGAAGGUUGGUACUUGUACCAACUGGAUGAGCAGCGAACGGGUGAGUAACGCGUGGGGAAUCUGCCUUUGAGCGGGGGACAACAUUUGGAAACGAAUGCUAAUACCGCAUAAAAACUUUAAACACAAGUUUUAAGUUUGAAAGAUGCAAUUGCAUCACUCAAAGAUGAUCCCGCGUUGUAUUAGCUAGUUGGUGAGGUAAAGGCUCACCAAGGCGAUGAUACAUAGCCGACCUGAGAGGGUGAUCGGCCACAUUGGGACUGAGACACGGCCCAAACUCCUACGGGAGGCAGCAGUAGGGAAUCUUCGGCAAGAGACGAAAGUCUGACCGAGCAACGCCGCGUGAGUGAAGAAGGGUUUCGGAUCGUAAAACUCGGUUGGUAGAGAAGAACGUUGGUGAGAGUGGAAAGCUCAUCAAGUGACGGUAACUACCCAGAAAGGGACGGCUAACUACGUG